rnacentral:rRNA from 1 species
CCACGGUGGGUAAGCUACCGUGACGAAAGGUGAACAAACCAGCCUGGCGUUAAGGUCCCAAAGUUCUAACUAAGUGUCAAAGACAAACCGUGUCCGUGGUCGAAGACAACCAGGAGGUGGGCUUAGAGGCAGCCACCCUUGAAAGAGUUCGUAACAGAUCACUGGUCAAGCUUGCGGGCAGGGAAAAAGGACGGGGCUAAAGUUAGACACCGAUACGCCAGACCAGCGAAAGCUGAUGUGGUAGCGCGGCGACAUGCUCGGGCAGAAGGUAGGCUGUAAGGUCUACUGGACCGUGUAUGUACGAGAAUCCAGGGAAGAGUAGCAGCAAAGAGUGGUGAGAAUCCGCUCCACCGAAGGGGCCAGGGUUCCUCGGCAAUGAUCAUCAGCCGAGGGUUAGCCGGUCCUAAGGUCAAUCUUAACUGACUUGAUCGAAAGGGAAUUGCGUUAAUAUUCGUAAGCCCCUGCACAUUAAUGGUGACGGCUUGGGCUAGUUCUGCGGGUCAUAUGUCAGACCCGUGAGGGUGUAUAAGGAACUGGAGAACCGUCAUGGUGAGAAAGUUCCGAAAGCAUUCGAAAUGAAAGGAUGAGGCCUAGGCCCCAUGAAAAACCGUGUAGGUGACCGUACCUAGAACUGACACAGGUGCCCCUGGGUGAGUAGCCUAAGGUGUGACGGGAAAAAUACCGCGAGGGAACUCGGCAAAAUAGCUCCGUAACUUCGGGAUAAGGAGUGCCAGAUCAGAGAUGAUCUGGUCGCAGUGACCAGGGAGCCCCGACUGUUUAAUAAAAACAUAGGAGACUGCCAGAGCGAAAGCUUGUGUAUAGUCUCUGAAUCCUGCUCAGUGCCGGUAUCUGAAAUUGGGGUACAACCUGACGAAGGACCGGUAAACAGCGGGGGUAACUAUGACCCUCUUAAGGUAACGUAAUACCUUGUCGCUUAAUUGGCGACUUGCAUGAAUGGUCCAACGAGGGCUCCACUGUCCCCGCGGUAUGUCCGGCGAAAUUGACAUUACUGGCGCACAGUCCAGUACCUUCAACCUGCAAGCGAAGACCCCGUAGAGCUUUACUGCAGCCUGCCGUUGUACAGUCGCACUUUUUGUGCUGCGUAGACGGGAGACAUCGAUCCUUCAGACGCCAGUCUGGGGGGGAGUCAAACAUAGAGACACCGUCCUUUGAGUGUAACUGUACUUACUCUUCAUGAGGACACCGGUAGGUGGGCAGUUUGGGUGGGGCGCCACGCGCUCGAAAACCUAACAAGCGUGCCCAAAGGUCAGCUUAGGUGGUUCAGUCUCCACCGCUUAACCGUAAGGGGAAAAGCUGGCUUGACGUGGUUCGGAUCAAUAACGAUCCACGAUGAGAAAUCAGGGCCUAACGAACCAACCAGCCUCAUUUAUGGGGGCGGUUGAUAACAGAAAAGUUACCUCGGGGAUAAUUGAGUUGUCACCAGGCAAGAGCUCACAUCGACCUGGUGGCUUGCUACUUCGAUGUCGUCUCUUCCUAUCCUGGGUCUGCAGCAGGACCCAAGGGUGGGGUUGUUCGCCCAUGAAAAGGGAUCGUGAGAUGGGUUUAGACCGUCGUGAGACAGGUUUGUUGCUUUGUGGUUGAAGUGUUGAUGCCUGAAGGAAAGGGCCCCUUAGUACGAGAGGAACGGGGGCUCGGAGCCACUAGUCUACCAGUUGUCUGACAAGGCAAUGCUGGGUAGCCACGCUCUAUGUGGAUAAGAGCUGAAAGCAUCUAAGCUCGAAGCCACCCCUAAAACGAGGCAUCAGGGCAGGCGAUAGAAGAUCGCAUGAUAGAAGCCGGGUGUAAGCACCGAGGUUCGCCGAGGUGUGUAGCCCAGGCCGACUAAUGCCCUGCAUCUAAUUUUC